CCCUUAGAUGUUCUGGGCCGCACGCGCGCUACACUGAUGCAUUCAACGAGCCUAUCCUUGACCGACAGGUCCGGGUAAUCUUUGAAUCUGCAUCGUGACGGGGAUAGAUUAUUGCAAUUAUUAAUCUUCAACGAGGAAUGCCUAGUAGGCGCAAGUCAUCAGCUUGCGUCGAUUACGUCCCUGCCCCUUGUACACACCGCCCGUCGCUCCUACCGAUUGGGUGUGCUGGUGAAAUGUUCGGAUCGGCCGUUUGUCGCGGUUUCCGCGGCUCGUGGCUGAGAAGUUCAUUAAACCCUCCCACCUAGAGGAAGGAGAAGUCGUAACA
rnacentral:rRNA from 1 species